rnacentral:rRNA from 1 species
CCUACGGGUGGCAGCAGUGGGGAAUAUUGGACAAUGGGGGCAACCCUGAUCCAGCCAUGCCGCGUGUGUGAAGAAGGCCCUCGGGUUGUAAAGCACUUUCAGUGAGGAAGAACGCCUGGUGGUUAAUACCCAUCAGGAAAGACAUCACUCACAGAAGAAGCACCGGCUAACUCCGUGCCAGCAGCCGCGGUAAUACGGAGGGUGCGAGCGUUAAUCGGAAUUACUGGGCGUAAAGCGCGCGUAGGUGGCUUGAUAAGUCGGUUGUGAAAGCCCCGGGCUCAACCUGGGAACGGCAUCCGGAACUGUCAAGCUAGAGUGCAGGAGAGGAAGGUAGAAUUCCCGGUGUAGCGGUGAAAUGCGUAGAGAUCGGGAGGAAUACCAGUGGCGAAGGCGGCCUUCUGGACUGACACUGACACUGAGGUGCGAAAGCGUGGGUAGCAAACAGGAUUAGAUACCCUAGUAGUC